UGGGGAAUAUUGCACAAUGGGCGCAAGCCUGAUGCAGCCAUGCCGCGUGUGUGAAGAAGGCCUUCGGGUUGUAAAGCACUUUCAGCGAGGAGGAAGGUGGUGAGCCUAAUACGCUCAUCAAUUGACGUUACUCGCAGAAGAAGCACCGGCUAACUCCGUGCCAGCAGCCAGCGGUAAUACGGAGGGUGCAAGCGUUAAUCGGAAUUACUGGGCGUAAAGCGCACGCAGGCGGUUUGUUAAGUCAGAUGUGAAAUCCCCGGGCUCAACCUGGGAACUGCAUUUGAAACUGGCAAGCUAGAGUCUCGUAGAGGGGGGUAGAAUUCCAGGUGUAGCGGUGAAAUGCGUUAGAGAUCUGGAGGAAUACCGGUGGCGAAGGCGGCCCCCUGGACGAAGACUGACGCUCAGGUGCGAAAGCGUGGGAGCAAACA
rnacentral:rRNA from 1 species